CUAACGCAACUGUGGGGCUGCUGAUGAAUCCAUUCAGAGACAUUCUUUGAUCCAUUCCGUACCGGCACAAAGCCGUGAGUGCCUGUUAGACGCUAUUCAACACUAGAGUGACUAUAGCGCAUCAAUAGACUUGUUUAGUUUGAUUAUGACGGGUGUACGAUAAUUUCCCUCAAAAUACGAUAAUUUUAUGUCUCUGGUACGAUAAUCCUACAUUUCCCACCUGGCAACACUGCACUGAGGCCAGAAGACAUGAUCACCGAGAAAAUAGCUGUCAUUUUUCAUGUUCAAAAGGGCAGCCUGUAUUUAACAGAUGACACAAAUGUGGCCAUCUUUCCACAAGCUGGCGGCGACUUCAUGUGCUUUGACCUCAAUGAUAAAGGUCAUUAUGAAGUGCAUGGCAACAGCACCUCUCUGGAGAAGUCGGCUGGGGCACUCCCAUCUGGCCAGCCGGUCAGAUUUUCUUUUCACCGUCCACCAAGUGCAGCUGCAAGCUCCUCCUCUUCAGUACCAAGGAGCACCCCAUCCAAAACCUUUGUGAGGAAUGUCUUCUUUGCUGAUGUCCUCAAUGGAAAGCUGGAGAGCAGCAAGAUGGUGACAGUCCGCUUCACAGAGUUUGAAGCUUGUGUAGAAGCAAUCACCAGCAAGGUGAAGGAAGCCCUCGGAGAACAGGAGCAUGUUAUUUUGACAGACAGUCAGGGGAAUCAAAUAAUUGAUUCUGACGGAACUAGAGGAUCAGCAUACUGGAAGCAGAAUUCCAGGAAAGUGUUUGCAGUGCCUGAAGAUCAAAGGGAUCUGCUCCAGGUUAAUAAAAGGAGGCGGCUGAGUCGCAGAGAAGAUACUGGCCUUCAAGAGGUUGUAGCAGACAUUGAAGAUGUUGUCGAGGCAGCCCAGGGGCUAAAAGAUGUGUCGCAGAUUAUCAAAGAUCUGAGUGGAUUUGGACGUUCCACACUGACAACAACAACCCUGUCUCUGUCAGAGGCUGAAAUAGCCUCUUGAAGAGAGGUCUUCAACUGUCUUGUCUGUAAAGGUAUUUUAAAUCGACCAAUGUUCUCAACCUGCUGCAGAAGCCUGAUUGGGUGUAAGGUCUGUAUUACGGAGUAGAGCACAAGCAGCAGUUACUGCCCCAAAGUGUCGUGCUGUGGAUUUGGAGGACAACAUCCACGAAGUGGCUGGACUCUGUGAGGCGCUGGCGCCACUGGAAAAGUUGCUCCUGUAGUAUAUGUAUUCUAUCUAGUGGCAACAGGCACUUUGUUUGUUCCUUCAAAGUAUUGUGUGUAACAGUGACCAAUGUUCAAGAUUAAAAGGAGAGUUCGUAUUCAGGAAUCCAACUAAAAAAAAAAACUCCACUUAAAAGAAUGUAACUGUUACUUUAAAGCAAUACUGUUGAGUAAUAGAGAGGAGGAAGGUGUGAUGGCCAUUCAUGGUCAUUGAGAAUAUUGUUCUGCAAUGUUUUAUAUUCUUUUGUAUUUUGUACUGUUUUGUGGACUUCUGGAUAGUUCAUUUUAAGCACUUUACUGUGGCAGUCCGCUCUUUGUUUAAAUGGUUUUUAUACUUGACAUAUUUUUGACAAUAAAAGAAAUAUGCAGAGUUCUAAACAAACUUGAUAUUUAUUUACAAUAGAGCUCACUAAAUAAUUUCAUCAGUUUUUUCAUGAAGGUGAAGUACAUACAGGUCCUUCUCAAAAAAUUAGCAUAUUGUGAUGAAGUUCAGUAUUUUCUGUAAUGUACUGAUAAACAUUAGACUUUCAUACAUGUUAGAUUCAUUUCACACAACUGAAGUAGUUCAAGCCUUUUAUUGUUUUAAUAUUGAUGAUAUUGGCCAAAAAGUAAAGAAAAACCAAAAAUCCAUAUCUCAAAAAAUUAGCAUAUUCCAUCCGACCAAUAAAAGUGUUUUUAAUACAAAAAAAGUCAACCUUCAAAUAAUUAUGUUCACUGAUGCACUCAAUACUUGGUUGGGAAUCCUUUAGCAGAAAUGACUGCUUCAAUGCGGCGUGGCAUGGAGGCAAUCAGCCUGUGGCACUGCUGAGGUGUUAUGGAGGCCCAGGAUGCUUUGAUAGCGGCCUUAAGCUCGUCCACAGUGGUGGGUCUGGUGACUCUCAACUUCCUCUUCACAAUAUCCCACAGAUUCUCUAUGGGGUUCAGGUCAGGAGAGUCGGCAGGCCAAUUGAGCACAGCAAUACCAUGGUCAGUAAACCAUUUACCAGUGGUUUUGGCACUGUGAGCAGGUGCCAGGUCAUGCAGAAAAAUGAAAUCUUCAUCUCCAUAAAGCUUUUCAGCAGAUGCAAGCAUGAAGUGCUCCAAAAUCUCCUGAUAGCGAGCUGCAUUGACCCUGCCCUUGAUAAAACACAGUGGACCACCACCAGCAGCUGACAUGGCACCCCAGACCAUCACUGAUUGUGGCUACUUGACACUGGACUUCAGGCAUUUUGGCAUUUCCUUCUCCCCAGUCUUCCUCCAGACUCUGGCACCUUGAUUUCAUCCGAAAAAAGUACUUUGGACCACUGAGCAACAGUCCAGUGCUGCUUCUCUGUAGCCCAGGUCAGGCACUUCUGCCGCUGUUUCUGGUUCAAAAGUGGCUUGACCUGGGGAAUGUGGCACGUGUAGCCCAUUUCCUGCACACGCCUGUGCACGGUGGGUCUGGAUGUUUCUACUCCAGACUCAGUCCACUGCUUCCACAGGUCCCCCAAGGUCUGGAAUCGGCCCUUCUCCACAAUCUUCCUCAGGGUCCGGUCACCUCUUGUAGUUGUGCAGCAUUUUCUGCCACACUUUUUUCCUUCCCACAGACUUCCCACUGAGGUGCCUUGAUACAGCACUCUGGGAACUGCCUAUUCACUCAGAAAUUUCUUUCUGUGUCUUACCCUCUUGCUUGAGGGUGUCAAUGAUGGCCUUCUGGACAGCAGUCAGGUCGGCAGUCUUACCCAUGAUUGCGGUUUUGAGUAAUGAACCAGGCUGGAAGUUUUUAAAGGCCUCAGGAAUCUUUUGCAGGUGUUUAGAGUUAACUCGUUGAUUCAGAUGAUUAGGUUAAUAGCUCGUUUAGAGUACCUUUUCAUAAUAUGCUAAUUUUUUGAGAUAUGGAUUUUUGGUUUUUCUUUACUUUUUGGCCAAUAUCAUCAAUAUUAAAACAAUAAAAGGCUUGGACUACUUCA